rnacentral:rRNA from 1 species
UGCAUGGGGGAACCCUGACCGCCUUCCGCGUGUGCGAUGAAGGCCUUCGGGUUGUAAAGCACUUUUGGCAGGAAAGAAAUCGCACAAAUUAAUACUUUGUGUGGAUGACGGUACCUGCAGAAUAAGCACCGGCUAACUACGUGCCAGCAGCCGCGGUAAUACGUAGGGUGCAAGCGUUAAUCGGAAUUACUGGGCGUAAAGCGUGCGCAGGCGGUUCGGAAAGAGAGGUGUGAAAUCCCAGGGCUUAACCUUGGAACUGCACUCUUAACUCCCGAGCUAGAGUAUGUCAGAGGGGGGUGGAAUUCCGCGUGUAGCAGUGAAAUGCGUAGAUAUGCGGAGGAACACCGAUGGCGAAGGCAGCCCCCUGGGAUGAUACUGACGCUCAUGCACGAAA